CCAAUAGCGUAUAUUAAAGUUGUUGCAGUUAAAAAGCUCGUAGUUGAAUUUCGGGAUCAGUACGUUGGUCAUGCCUUGGUAUGUACUGGUGUAACUGAUUCCUCCCUUCUGACGAACCGUCAUGCCAUUCACUUGGUGUGGCGGGAAAUCAGGACUGUUACUUUGAAAAAAUUAGAGUGUUUAAAGCAGGCUCGCGCUUGAAUACAUUAGCAUGGAAUAA
rnacentral:rRNA from 1 species